rnacentral:rRNA from 1 species
GAUGAACGCUGGCGGCGUGCCUAAUACAUGCAAGUCGAGCGAACAGAUGAGGAGCUUGCUCCUCUGACGUUAGCGGCGGACGGGUGAGUAACACGUGGAUAACCUACCUAUAAGACUGGGAUAACUUCGGGAAACCGGAGCUAAUACCGGAUAAUAUAUUGAACCGCAUGGUUCAAUAGUGAAAGACGGUUUUGCUGUCACUUAUAGAUGGAUCCGCGCCGCAUUAGCUAGUUGGUAAGGUAACGGCUUACCAAGGCAACGAUGCGUAGCCGACCUGAGAGGGUGAUCGGCCACACUGGAACUGGGACACGGUCCAGACUCCUACGGUAGACAGCAGGAGGUAAUCUGCCGCAAGGGGCGAAAGCUUGACGGAGCAACGCCGCGUGAGUGAGGAAGUUCUUCGGAUCGUAAAACUCUGUUAUUAGGGAAGAACAAAUGUGUAAGUAACUAUGCACGUCUGGACGGUACCUAAUCAGAAAGCCACGGCUAACUACGU